GACGAACGCUGGCGGCGUGCUUAACACAUGCAAGUCGAACGAUGAAGAAAAGAAUCGAAGCUUCGGCAGACAUUCAUUUCGGAUUAGUGGCAGACGGGUGAGUAACGCGUGAGCAACCUACCUCUUACCAAGGGAUAGCCUCGGGAAACCGGGCUUAAUACCAUAUAACAUUGUGACGAAGCAUUUCGAUGCAAUCAAAGCUACGGCGGUAAGAGAUGGGCUCGCGUCCCAUUAACCGGAUGGUGAGGUAACGGCUCACCAUAGUGACGAUGGGGAACCGGCGUGUGAGGGGGAACAGUCACACUGGGACUGAGACACGGUCCAGACGCCUACGAGAGGGAGCAGUGGGGAAUAUUGCACAAUGGAGGGAACUCUGAUGCAGCGACGCCGGGUGAAUGAUGAAGGGAUUGGUAUCGGAAAACUCUGUUCUAUGGGAAGAUAAGGACUGUACCAGAAGAGAAAGCUCCGGCUAACUACGUG
rnacentral:rRNA from 1 species